rnacentral:rRNA from 1 species
GAUGAACGCUGGCGGCGUGCUUAACACAUGCAAGUCGAACGGAAAGGCCCAAGCUUGCUUGGGUACUCGAGUGGCGAACGGGUGAGUAACACGUGGGUGAUCUGCCCUGCACUUCGGGAUAAGCCUGGGAAACUGGGUCUAAUACCGGAUAGGACCACAUUUUGGAUGGUGUUGUGGAAAGUUUUUCGGUGUGGGAUGAGCUCGCGGCCUAUCAGCUUGUUGUGGGGGUAAUGGCCUACCAAGGCGUCGACGGGUAGCCGGCCUGAGAGGGUGUACGGCGACAUUGGGACUGAGGUACGGCCCAGACUCCUACGGGAGGCAGCAGUGGGGAAGAUUGCACAAUGGGUGCAAGCCUGAUGCAGCGACGCCGCGUGGGGGAUGACGGCCUUCGGGUUGCAAACUCCUUUCGCUAGGGACGAAGCGUUAUGUGACGGUACCUGGAGAAGAAGCACCGGCUAACUACGUG